rnacentral:rRNA from 1 species
UGAGGAAUAUUGGGCAAUGGGCGCAAGCCUGACCCAGCCAUGCCGCGUGAAGGAUGAAUGCCCUACGGGUUGUAAACUUCUUUUGUACGGGACGAAACUUCUGAUCGUGAUCGGAACUGACUGUACCGUUCGAAUAAGCAUCGGCUAACUCCGUGCCAGCAGCCGCGGUAAUACGGAGGAUGCAAGCGUUAUCCGGAUUCAUUGGGUUUAAAGGGUGCGUAGGCGGAAUAAUAAGUCAGUGGUGAAAGCCUGCGGCUCAACCGUAGAAAUGCCAUUGAUACUGUUAUUCUUGAGUCCAGUUGAGGUGGGCGGAAUGUGUAAUGUAGCGGUGAAAUGCUUAGAUAUUACACAGAACACCAAUUGCGAAGGCAGCUCACUAAACUGUCACUGACGCUGAGGCACGAAAGCGUGGGGAGCAAACAGGAUUAGAUACCCUGGUAGUCCACGCUGUAAACGAUGAUCACUCGUUGUUGGCG